GAAGAUAUUGAACCAUUCCAUGUUGUGAACAGUGAAGAAGAAGAGACGUUAAUGGGUGAAUUCUUUGAACCCAUGAGCAGUGAAGAUGAAGGAGAGGAAAAUUAGAAGGAAAAAGAAGUUGGUGAAGUGACUGUGUUACCAUUAGAAAAUAAGCAGACUCCUCCCCAUUCAAAAAGAAUCAAAGGUAACGAGGAGAAUGAAAUAGAGCUUACUGAUGAAGAAGAGGAUCUUGUCGUUCACCCACAAAAGAGUAAUAA
rnacentral:lncRNA from 1 species